rnacentral:rRNA from 1 species
GGCGCCGCCCCGGGGCUCGUGAUAUCUUAUCUCGCCGCCCGUCGCGAGGCGGACGGAGGGAUGGAUGAGGUUACCUGGAAAAAUCGGGGCGAUCUAGGCGGGCGAACCUCGCCAACGAACGAUCGGACAUGGGAUAACGGAAGAGGGCGUCGGCUCGACUUCGUCGGUUCCUCGGGCCGAGGCACGUACGGUGAAUAGGGACGGUCGGGGCCGCCCGUACCGGGUCGUGAGAGGUGAAAUUCUAGGAUCGACCCGAGACGAACUGCCGCGAAAGCAUUCGGCAAGGACGCUUUCAUUAAUCAAGAACGAAAGUCGGGGGAUCGAAGACGAUCAGAUACCGUCGUAGUCCCGACCGUAAACGAUGCCGACCGAGGGCCCGGAGGAGUUACGUACGACCCUCCGGGCCCUCCCGCGAGAAAUCAGGAGUAUUCGGGUUCCGGGGGGAGUAUGGUCGCAAGGCCGAAACUUAAAGGAAUUGACGGAAGGGCACCACCAGGAGUGGAAUCUGCGGCUUAAUUUGACUCAACGCGGGAU